rnacentral:rRNA from 1 species
CCUACGGGUGGCAGCAGUAGGGAAUCUUCCACAAUGGACGAAAGUCUGAUGGAGCAACGCCGCGUGAGUGAAGAAGGGUUUCGGCUCGUAAAGCUCUGUUGGUAGUGGAGAAAGAUAGAGGUCGUAACUGGCCUUUAUUUGACGGGAAUUACUUAGAAAGUCACGGCUCACUACGUGCCAGCAGCCGCGGUAAUACGUAGGUGGCAAGCGUUGGUCGGAUUUAUUGGGCGUAAAGCGAGUGCAGGCGGUUCAAUAAGUCUGAUGGGAAAGCCUUCGGCUCAACCGGAGAAUUGCAUCAGAAACUGGUUAACUUGAGUGCAGAAGAGGAGAGUGGAACUGCAGGUGUAGCGGUGGAAUGCGUAGAUAUAUGGAAGAACACCAGUGGCGAAGGCAGCUUACUGGACUGUAACUGACGCUGAGGCUCGAAAGCGUGGGGAGCAAACAGGAUUAGAUACCCGAGUAGUC